UUCUUCGGCGGCGGACGCUGGGAAGCGAGGACACCCAGCGCGCGGUCUGCUUCUGUUGGGUUCUUCGGCGGCGUCCGGGAGUGUUCGGUCUGCUUCUGUUGGGAAGCGAGAGGUUGAAGCUUUGGCCAUCGGGGUAAAACUAUUUCCGUGACAUUUGGGUUUUCUGGAAUGGCUCCCUUCGGGGUAAAGCCUUAUAAUUACUUGUUCAAAACUUAUUGAUUUCUUUGUUGAAGUUGAUAUAUUCAUUUUAAAGGGAUAUGUGCACCAUAAAACAUGCAAUCAAAACUUAUUAAAAUUUGUUGAACAGAACUUACUGAUUUCCUUGCAUCAUAAAAUUUGUUGUGAAAGUGUAACUUAUUAAGUUCUAAGGCUUUCAAAACAUGCAAUUAAAUUUUAAAACAAGUCGAAUUACAGCAAUUAACUGAAAAUUUGAUGACCCUGACCAGCUAGAUGAGUUCUCCCUUUUUUACUGUUGUAGGACUAGAAAUUUAGCUCGUAGACAUUUCCGGACAGCUUCCUUUUUUUCAGGGGCCACGUUUCUCUCUUGCUCUCAAUAACAAAAUGGUAAGCUUCACGACAUACGUCAUUAUGUGUCCUUAAUACAUGUUCAUAAUUUUUUACAUUUUUGUCUAACCUUGCAACUUUUAGUAUAAACGUGGAGGUCACAUGCGUCGUGGUGAUGCUUCACAAAGAAGACCAGGCCUUUCCACUUCCUCAUCCUCGUCCCCGUCCCUUUCCAUUUCCCCUGCCCCUGCCCUGCCCCUUCAUCUAACCCUCAACUAGUACAUGGACACAUUGGCCCUUCCUCCGACCCUCAAAUGCGAACUGAAUUUACUUCAGUUCCAUCGCCUUCGGUUCCACCUUCUUCUUCAACGCAACACUCGAAUUAUGAAGAAGAUACCCGAUUCAUGAUAGCCCCAUUUGGAGAUUCAUUCACGGAUGCUACGCAUGUUGUGAGGAGACUUAAUAAAAUAAUCAAUAACUAUUGGAUGGGCAGUAUAGUAGUUGGACCACCGCUCCAAAAGAAGUAAAGGAAUUGUGGUGGAAUGAGUUCAAGCGGAAGUUCAGGUGGGAUGAAGCGGAAGAGAAAGAAGUUAAAAGAAUUUUUAAGAAGAAAGCUGGUGAUCACAUGCGAAAUGUGAUGAAUAAAGCAAAGAGAAAGCAAGAAAAGCCGGAUUUUAUUACAGCUGACAAUUGGGCGGAAAUUAUGAGAACUUGGGACAAUGAAAAGCAUAAGCAAAUCAGUGAAAUUAAUAAGAAGAAUCGAGCUUCUAGUUCUAGUGAAGGGUCUGCCACAUAUGCUGGGGCUCUAUCAACAUCGAGGAGCGUAGAAAAAGAAUGGACAAAUAUGAUGAACUUGUAAUGAGCACGGCUGCUGCUAGUGGUGAUGGUGAUGGUGAUGGUGAUGGUGAUGGUGUUGCUGCGUCCGAGCCAUCGGUUGACAGUAUGGCAUUAUGGAUGGAGGCAUCGGGUGGAAUGAGAAUAGGUCAAAUAUUUGGGAUGGGAUCCUUGUCAAGGAUGUACAGAACGCCGGCUGCUGGAACUUCAUCCUCUAGUGCGGCUUUUUUAAGGGCACAACACGAGGAGCGACAGGACCAAGCAUUGAACCGCCUGAGACAAUUACUUGUACAGAAGGACGAAGAAAUGAUAGGAGUGAAACAACGUUUGCAAUUGAUCAUGCGACACCUCAACCUCGAAGUUGAUGACGUUCCUCCUGUACCUCCUACUAAUCCAGUAGGUGAUGGCCACAGUGAUGAUGAUAAUGAGAUUCCUGAUGAUGAUGCUGAUGAUGAUGAUGAUCCUUGCUAGUUUAAAUUUCCAA